rnacentral:rRNA from 1 species
AUGAACGCUGGCGGCGUGCCUAAUCCCUGCCAGUCGAGCGAACGGACGAGAAGCUUGCUUUUCUGAUGUUAGCGGCGGACGGGUGAGUAACACGUGGAUAACCUACCUAUAAGACUGGGAUAACUUCGGGAAACCGGAGCUAAUACCGGAUAAUAUUUUGAACCGCAUGGUUCAAAAGUGAAAGACGGUCUUGCUGUCACUUAUAGAUGGAUCCGCGCUGCAUUAGCUAGUUGGUAAGGUAACGGCUUACCAAGGCAACGAUGCAUAGCCGACCUGAGAGGGUGAUCGGCCACACUGGAACUGAGACACGGUCCAGACUCCUACGGGAGGCAGCAGUAGGGAAUCUUCCGCAAUGGGCGAAAGCCUGACGGAGUAACGCCGCGUGAGUGAUGAAGGUCUUCGGAUCGUAAAACUCUGUUAUUAGGGAAGAACAUAUGUGUAAGUAACUGUGCACAUCUUGACGGUACCUAAUCAGAAAGCCACGGCUAACUACGUG